GACGGAGGAUGCAAGUGUUAUCCGGAAUCACUGGGCGUAAAGCGUCUGUAGGUGGUUUAAUAAGUCAACUGUUAAAUCUUGAGGCUCAACCUCAAAAUCGCAGUCGAAACUAUUAGGCUAGAGUAUAGUAGGGGUAAAGGGAAUUUCCAGUGGAGCGGUGAAAUGCGUAGAGAUUGGAAAGAACACCGAUGCGAGGACGACUUUACUGGGCUAUUACUAACACUCAGAGACGAAAGCUAGGGUAGCAAAUGGG
rnacentral:rRNA from 1 species